UGAACCAGCCAAGUCGCGUGAAGGAUGACUGUCUUAUGGAUUGUAAACUUCUUUUAUACGGGAAUAACAAGAGCCACGUGUGGCUCCCUGCAUGUACCGUAUGAAUAAGCAUCGGCUAACUCCGUGCCAGCAGCCGCGGUAAUACGGAGGAUGCGAGCGUUAUCCGGAUUUAUUGGGUUUAAAGGGUGCGUAGGCGGCCUGUUAAGUCAGCGGUGAAAUCUAGGAGCUUAACUCCUAAAUUGCCAUUGAUACUGGCGGGCUUGAGUGUAGAUGAGGUAGGCGGAAUGCGUGGUGUAGCGGUGGAAUGCAUAGAUAUCACGCAGAACUCCGAUUGCGAAGGCAGCUUACUAAGGUACAACUGACGCUGAAGCACGAAAGCGUGGGUAUCAAACAGGAUUAGAUACCCUGGUAGUCCACGCAGUAAACGAUGAUAACUGGGCGUAUGCGAUAUACAGUAUGCUCCUAAGCGAAAGCGUUAAGUUAUCCACCUGGGGAGUACGCCGGCAACGGUGAAACUCAAAGGAAUUGACGGGGGCCCGCACAAGCGGAGGAACAUGUGGUUUAAUUCGAUGAUACGCGAGGAACCUUACCCGGGCUUGAAUUGCAGACGAAGGCUUCAGAGAUGAAGCUGCCUUUCGGGGCGUCUGUGAAGGUGCUGCAUGGUUGUCGUCAGCUCGUGCCGUGAGGUGUCGGCUUAAGUGCCAUAACGAGCGCAACCCUUGCCAAUAGUUACCAGCAUUUAGAUGGGGACUCUAUUGGGACUGCCACCGUAAGGUGCGAGGAAGGUGGGGAUGACGUCAAAUCAGCACGGCCCUUACGUCCGGGGCUACACACGUGUUACAAUGGCCGGUACAGAGGGACGGUGUAAUGCAAAUUGCAUCCAAUCUUGAAAGCCGGUCCCAGUUCGGACUGGGGUCUGCAACCCGACCCCACGAAGCUGGAUUCGCUAGUAAUCGCGCAUCAGCCAUGGCGCGGUGAAUACGUUCCCGGGCCUUGUACACACCGCCCGUCAAGCCAUGGGAGUCUGGAGUACCUAAAGUCCGUAACCGCAAGGGUCGGCCUAGGGUAAUACAGGUGACUGGGGCUAAGUCGUAACAAGGUAGCCGUACCGGAAGGUGCGGCUG
rnacentral:rRNA from 1 species